rnacentral:rRNA from 1 species
UACGUAUGGUGCAAGCGUUAUCCGGAAUUACUGGGUGUAAAGGGAGCGUAGACGGCGAGGUAAGCCUGAAGUGGAAGCCCGCGGCCCAACCGCGGAACUGCUUUGGGAACUGUUUUGCUGGAGUAUGGGAGGGGUAAGCGGAAUUCCUGGUGUAGCGGUGAAAUGCGUAGAUAUCAGGAGGAACACCGGUGGCGAAGGCGGCUUACUGGACCAUAACUGACGUUGAGGCUCGAAAGCGUGGGGAGCGAACAGG